UACGUAGGGAGCAAGCGUUGUUCGGAAUCACUGGGCGUAAAGGGCGUGUAGGCGGUCAGGUAAGUGGGAUGUGAAAUGCCCCGGCUCACCCGGGGACCGGCAUCCCAUACUGCUUGGCUUGAGUACGGGAGAGGAUGUGGGAAUUCCUGGUGUAGCGGUGAAAUGCGUAGAUAUCAGGAGGAACACCGGUGGCGAAGGCGCACAUCUGGCCCGAUACUGACGCUGAGGCGCGAAAGCUAGGGGAGCAAACGGG
rnacentral:rRNA from 1 species